rnacentral:lncRNA from 1 species
AUUCUUUGGAAACUCUGGACCCUGGCCUGGCCUCUGGACAGCAAGCCAACAUGACUUGGUGGCCAUGAACUGUAGCAAAUAUAGCCAGUGGUCUGCACUUGACUGCAGAGGUUGGUCCGGAGUAUCUCUUUAGAGCUGUGGUCAUUGCUCCAAGGAAGCGCUUCCUCUGUUACUGGAGAAGAGCAAAAUAACAGCACAGACUGGAAAGGGAUACGCCAUCAAGAUCAAAAGAGGGACCUGCAAGGCAGAGGACUCGAGGUGCCAAUUGUCGUUUGUGCCUGCUUGCAUACAAGGUUCAGAAGAAGUGGCUAAGUAUCGGGGCAGAGUCUGGCAAGUUCUCCACUUCGAUAGGAAUGUGGUGGCCACACAGAAGGAUUCGGGUGACCCCAAGACUGUCUCUGCAUUGUGGGAAAUUUCCACCCUCAUGUGCGUGAACACUUUGCCGCAGACCCCUUCCUUCAGUUAACAGUCUGUCUUCUAUGUGUUCUGGCAGCCAUGGAAGAUGAGACACCAUCUUGACAGCCUUGCCCACGUGUGACCAGUGCAGCCUGGGACCCCAUGGUUAGAGCGGCCUUGAGACUUGCUUAAUGAGCGGCUGCCAUCACCUGAGAAGUCUUCAUAAAUUUUAAACAGAUGGUGUCCACUUGGCCUGGAAUGGCUUGGACAGAAGGGCUGAGAAGAGCUGCCCCCUAUCAGUUCGUGGCGUUUCUUCAGGAGACCCUGGUGCUGCGCCUGCCUGCUUCCAGUAGAGCAAGGAGGAUCCACUCCCCUGUCCUAGCAAGAGAGUAGUUCUGGUGGCACAAGACAAGUGUGGUUUUCCUUUGGACUGUGAAAUGGGAGAUAAUUCUGCCAGCGGUUUACUUACAACUACUUAAAUAUCGGACCCACAAUUUUUAGUAUAAGUAGGAUUUGGCAUAUUCUUUCCAAAUAUGUCAGUGAUCUUUUCCAAAUCACUAACAAGAUGUCUCAGUACCAUUUACGGAGUAAUAGAUCCAUUCUUUGUUACUUUGAAUUUCUGCCAUGAGGCUCCUUAUAUUGUUGUCUAAAAUUGGAGUAUAUUGUGUUUCAUCGCUCUUUAUGUGCCUGAGUAUUUUUUUUUAAGUACAGCUCGUUGUAUUUCUCCUCUGAAUUGUCAACUUGAUUUUCUGCAGUGAGGAUGCUUGGGACGGUGUCUGGGGACGCGUGUAUCCUGGGCACCACUAAGCUAUGUCCUGCACUGGCACCUUACACCAUUUCAUUUCCAUAGUCCCUGCUCUGCCUUAUCUUUAUGUCUUUGAAAUUCGUGCAACUUUUGGUCCACAUGAAGCGUAUAUGAUAGAGUGAGGAUUACUAUUCUCUCAAGUUUUAUCCCAGUAUUUAGCAAUUUUAUCUUUGUGAACUAGUAAGGAUUAUUUAAAAUUAAAAAAAAUAAUACAUAUG